UGGCCAUAGACUGUAAUUUCACCAAUAAUUGUUUAAUAGUGCAUUUUUGUAGCCAUUCUUAAAGAUAAUCAGUAUUUACAAUAGUUUAUGUGCGUACACUAUUUAAAAUAACAAUAUUGUGAAAAGUAUAUAAUAUUUUUACUUUCGAUUGCCUGCAAAGUUUUGCAUAUGUCUACUAAAAGCUGCUACAAUGUCGAAUACAUUACAGUUAAGCUGCCGUAAUCAAUAUUACAUACAUAAUAAAGAUGGCCCAUUUUUGUCAUGGUGAGAUGACCACAAUCUUUGUGCACGACGCAUGUGCACAACGCAGAGAACCGCAGCACACGAGUGCACUACAUCUGCGCACUAUCACCUUGUUUUCUGUAUUCUUUAACUCAUGUGCAAUAAAAAUGCCAAAGAAAAGUAGAAAUUCAGAUCGAGGUAAAUGGUCGCAAGAUCAAUUAACUGCAGCCAUAGAAGCCAUUCAAAAAGGCAUUUCUAUACGUCAAGCAAGCAUUCAAAAUGGUAUUCCUAGAAAAACUCUUGAAAG